GACGUAGGGGGCGAGCGUUGUCCGGAUUUAUUGGGCGUAAAGAGCGCGUAGGCGGCCCGGAAAGUCGGAUGUGAAAACCCCGGGGCUCAACCCCGGGCCUGCAUCCGAUACUCCCGGGCUGGAGGCAGGUAGGGGAGAUCGGAAUUCCUGGUGUGCGGUGAAAUGCGCAGAUAUCAGGAGGAACACCGGUGGCGAAGGCGGAUCUCUGGGCCUGUCCUGACGCUGGAGGCGCGGAAAGCUAGGGGGAGCGAACAGG
rnacentral:rRNA from 1 species